AACUCUUUUCGUCAAAACACCACAUCACCUUCGUCAUGAUUUCUGCAACACCUCCGCCACGAAAGAAGCACCAGAUUGCAAUUUCUACAAGGAGAGUCGAAAGAGACAACAACUCAACAUCAAAAGGGGAAAUUAUAAUAUAAUUAAUUUACCUAUUCUGAUGUUGUUUUGAUGUUAGAUUUUUAAGGAGAAAUCACUUCAAAUCGAGUUGAGGAAGGAAUUGGAUUAAGAUUACAAGUUUCGAAUUGCUAAAGCAUUAGAUUUGCAGCGCAGGCGCAUCGGGCGUGCGGUUUCACUAGUGUCUCAUAAUAAAAACAGAAAUUGCGAGUUAAAGUUACACCACAACAGGCGACCUAUAAGGUUAAUCAGAAAAGCUUUUGUAAUAAUGACAUAAUGGAAGGGACUAUAUCUCUGAGGUGCAUAUGUCCAAUGAUUGUAAGCCUAUCGGACUCGUUGGCUUUCUAAAUCCUACUUUAUUUUUGAAUUAAAAGACAGUCCAAGCAGAAUCAACAGAGAAAAAGGAUUGCAUAAAGGUUAAGCACCAUCUUUCCGAUUACUGCACACCAUGCUAAGCCUGAGACAUGGACCUCUUUGUAUGUCGAUCUCUCUACGUAUCUUUCCUUAUGGAGGAACUACUCGCAGCAAGAACGACACAAUGACCUUGAAAUAAAUUACAUAAAACUACACUAUAAGAAUAUGAGUUUGUUGCCGCAUUUCUUUACCACACAUCCACGAACAAUGUGGCAAUAGGCGGGUUUUAUUCUCACAGCUAGAUAGGUGUGGCAUUAAGUGAGACAUUUUGCCACAUUCGCAAAUAGUUGAGGCAAAAACUAACUUUUUGCUACAUGUAUUUUGCUGAUGUAGCUAUAAAUCAAGUUCUUCCCACACUGGUG